rnacentral:rRNA from 1 species
AACAAACGCUGGCGGCGUGCCUAAUACAUGCAAGUCGAUCGAGGAAAGUCUUCGGAUGAGUACUAGAGGCGCACGGGUGAGUAACACGUAGGUAAUCUGCCCUCGAGUGGGGAAUAACCAAUCGAAAGAUUGGCUAAUACCGCAUAAGACCACAGGAACUGAGGUUCUAGAGGUCAAAGGAGCAAUUCGCUUGAGGAUGAGCCUGCGUCGGAUUAGCUAGNGGUGAGGUAACGGCUCACCAAGGCUGUGAUCCGUAGCUGGUCUGAGAGGAUGAUCAGCCACACUGGAACUGAGACACGGUCCAGACUCCUACGGGAGGCAGCAGUAGGGAAUAUUGCGCAAUGGGGAAACCCUGACGCAGCGACGCCGCGUGAGUGAUGAAGGCC